GGUAGUUUAAUUAAAAUGCCAGCUUUGGGAGCUGUGGAUGGAGGUUAAAGUCCUCUUCUUCUGACUGU
rnacentral:tRNA from 1 species